GAUGAAGAACGCAGCGAAACGCGAUAUGUAAUGUGAAUUGCAGAAUUCAGUGAAUCAUCGAAUCUUUGAACGCACCUUGCGCUCUUUGGUAUUCCGAAGAGCAUGCCUGUUUGAGUGUCAUGAAAAUAUCAACCUUGACUUGGGUUUUGUGCUCUAGUCUCGGCUUGGAAUUGGGUGCUUGCCGCUUUUACGAGCGGCUCACCUUAAAUGUAUUAGCUGGAUCUGUCUUUGAGACUUGGUUUGACUUGGCGUAAUAAGUAUUUCGCUAAGGACAUUCUUCGGAGUGGCCUCGUUUCUAGGACGCUUGUCCGCUUUCCAAUACAAGUUCCACCUCGUGGACAUGACUUUUUAUUAUCUGGCCUCAAAUCAGGUAGGACUACCCGCUGAACUUAAGCAUAUCAAUAAGCGGAGGA
rnacentral:misc_RNA from 1 species